GCUUGUCUCAAAGAUUAAGCCAUGCAUGUCUAAGUAUAAACGAAUUUAUACUGUGAAACUGCGAAUGGCUCAUUACAUCAGUUAUAGUUUAUUUGAUGGUCCUUGCUACUUGGAUAACCGUAGUAAUUCUAGAGCUAAUACAUGCAUAAAACCCUAACUUCUGGAAAGGGUGUAUUUAUUAGAUAACAGACCAGCAGCUUCGGCUAUUGUGGUGAAUCAUAGUAACUAAUCGGAUCGCAUGGGCUAGUCCCGCGACAAACCAUUCAAGUUUCUGCCCCAUCAGCUUUCGACGGUAGUGUAUUGGACUACCGUGGCUUUUACGGGUAACGGAGGAUUAGGGUUCGAUUCCGGAGAGGGAGCCUGAGAAACGGCUACCACAUCCAAGGAAGGCAGCAGG
rnacentral:rRNA from 1 species